AGCCACUUAAAAAAAAAAAAAUAUCGGGCCUGCUUUCACGUUGCAGCCCAAAGCGAAAGGUCUGACCGGGGUUGCUCAUCAUUGAGUAUUUAUCAUCAUUCUUUGUCUGUUAAUUAAUAGGAGUGGCGACGUUAGGAAUUACUGUACCAAUCCUGGAGGAGGAAAUAUCCCGUGUUCCAUCCCUCAUCAGUCGAUCGUUUCCGGUUUCUCUAUGAAGUCUAGCACGAGGAUCUUCCUUAUGAAUAUCUUCAUUCCAAAAUAAUCCCUAUUGAAAUAUACUCAGACAAGUAUGUACUCUAAUCCCGGGGAUCCUUCGCUGUUCUUCGGGCUCUUGGGAUGGCUCAUUUCAGUGAGGCGGCCAAGAGCUUUAGCACGUGGCGAUUUGGCUCAUAAAAUGAGGACACUAUUCUGUUGCUGAUUUCCCUAUUCCGUCUAUGACGUCAUUCAUCGUAAGAGGCAAUUUAUUUUCACUUCAACGAAUAUGUGGUGUGUUAUUUUGUUUAGAAUGGACAUUGUUAAUUACUAUGGACUUUGUUGAAGACUAUGCAUAUGGAGCCUUUGUGAAGGGAAUAUGUAACAUUAAUAUGGUAAGCCCUUUACGUAUUAUUCGUAUUUAUGACUUUCAAAAGAGAAAGGAAAAAUUUGA
rnacentral:lncRNA from 1 species